rnacentral:rRNA from 1 species
GUGGGGAAUAUUGCGCAAUGGACGAAAGUCUGACGGAGCAACGCCGCGUGAGUGAAGAAGGUUUUCGGAUCGUAAAGCUCUUUCGUUAGGGACGAACGUGCUCUUUGUGAAUAAUGAGGAGUAAUGACGGUACCUAAAUAAGAAGCCACGGCUAACUACGUGCCAGCAGCCGCGGUAAUACGUAGGUGGCAAGCGUUGUCCGGAAUUAUUGGGCGUAAAGCGCGCGCAGGCGGGAUAUCAAGUCUGUCUUAAAAGUGCGAGGCUCAACCUCGUGAGGGGACAGAAACUGGUAUUCUUGAGUGUCGGAGAGGAAAGUGGAAUUCCAAGUGUAGCGGUGAAAUGCGUAGAGAUUUGGAAGAACACCAGUGGCGAAGGCGACUUUCUGGACGAUGUCUGACGCUGAGGCGCGAAAGCUAGGGGAGCGAACGGGAUUAGAAACCCCAGUAGUCC